GCCGGUGUAGUGUAAUGCUAACAGAUCAGUCCAGUAACUGAAGAUGCUGGUUCGCUCCCAGCCGCCGAUU
rnacentral:tRNA from 1 species